GCUUGUCUCAAAGAUUAAGCCAUGCAUGUCUAAGUAUAAGCAAUCAUACUGUGAAACUGCGAAUGGCUCAUUAAAUCAGUUAUCGUUUAUUUGAUAGUACCUUUACCUGGAUAACCGUGGUAAUUCUAGAGCUAAUACAUGCUAAAAACCCCGACUUCGGAAGGGGUGUAUUUAUUAGAUAAAAAACCAAUGCCCUCUGGGCUCCUUGGUGAUUCAUAAUAACUUAACGAAUCGCAUGGCCUUGCGCCGGCGAUGGUUCAUUCAAAUUUCUGCCCUAUCAAUUUUCGAUGGUAGAGUAGUGGUCUACCAUGAUCUUAACGGGUAACGGGGAAUUAGGGUUCUAUUCCGGAGAAGGAGCCUGAGAAACGGCUACUACAUCCAAGGAAGGCAGCAGG
rnacentral:rRNA from 1 species